AUUGAACGCUGGCGGCAGGCCUAACACAUGCAAGUCGAGCGAGCGGCGGACGGGUGAGUAAUGUCUGGGAAACUGCCUGAUGGAGGGGGAUAACUACUGGAAACGGUAGCUAAUACCGCAUACCAUCAGAUGUGCCCAGAUGGGAUUAGCUAGUAGGUUGGGUAAUGGCUCACCUAGGCGACGAUCCCUAGCUGGUCUGAGAGGAUGACCAGCCACACGGGAACUGUGACACGGUCCAGACUACUACGAGAGGCUGCAGGGGGGAAUAUUGCACAAUGGGCGCAAGCCUGAUGCAGCAAUGCCGCGUGUAUGAAGAAGGCCUUCGGGUUGUAAAGUACUUUCAGCGAGGAGGCGUUACUCGCAGAAGAAGCGCCGGCUAACUCCGUGCCAGCAGCCGCGGUAAUAC
rnacentral:rRNA from 1 species